AUCCAAGCAUUUUAGACACGUGUUUAAUCUUUCUGCCGUCGACUAUUUUUCUUCGCGGCACAGUUUCGCCAAGGUCACGGAAAGGUCACCGAAAGGUCAGCGCCAACGUAGACACCUAAGGCUUUCGCCUUUAAAGUAAGCAAGUGUUACACAUUUGUAAAACGUGAAGGCGAAAGCCUGCCAGCCGUGGAAGAAGACGACGAAAGCACGAGCAGUGGCACCAGCGCGAGGGACUGUAUGGGAACGCUGGCAUGAUCAGCAGCAUCGGAGCCAGCUGUGGAAGAAGACGACGACGAUGAACGCGAGAGCAGUGGCACGAGCGCAUCUCCGUGACCACGUGACGUGAUAUGAUGUGACCACGUGACAUGAGCGACCGAAUCUUCGAGCCCUACUGACCUCCCAGAGGGGAGAUGAAAGUAGAAUUAAUAAUGGACAACGAUAAAGGAAAUCUCCGUAUUUGGCGAAGGAACUGCAGGGGGUACGCUGGUAAAAGAGCACUGCUGCAGCAGUACUUCAUUGACGGAUAAACCUAGAAUUAUAGCACUGCAAGAGACCCUAGCCUCUGCGGCGUCCCUCGCUGGUUACAGAGCAGUCCCCGGGCAGCCACGCGGACGAGGGAUCUGCACAAUUAUAGAUAAGAAGCUAGCACACCUCUCUUACAACAUGAAGCUGACGAGCUGCUAGAUCGAACACGUGAUGGUGGAGAUCCUGCGGCACAACCAACGCAGAAACAGUGUCUUUGUGCUGAACGUUUACAGUAAUCCCAAGCACAGGCGCCAGCAAUUCAAAA